GCUGGGCGCGGUGGCUCAUGCCUGUAAUCCCAGCACUUUGGGAGGCUGAGGUGGGUGGAUCACCUGAGGUCAGGAGUUCGAGACCAGCCUGACCAACAUGGUGAAACCCCAUCUCUA
rnacentral:SRP_RNA from 2 species